rnacentral:rRNA from 1 species
AACGAACGCUGGCGGCAGGCUUAACACAUGCAAGUCGAGCGCAUCCUUCGGGGUGAGCGGCAGACGGGUGAGUAACGCGUGGGAACGUACCCUUUCCUACGGAAUAGCUCCGGGAAACUGGAAUUAAUACCGUAUACGCCCUUAGGGGGAAAGAUUUAUCGGGGAAGGAUCGGCCCGCGUUGGAUUAGCUAGUUGGUGGGGUAAAGGCCUACCAAGGCGACGAUCCAUAGCUAGUCUGAGAGGAUGAUCAGCCACAUUGGGACUGAGACACGGCCCAAACUCCUACGGGAGGCAGCAGUGGGGAAUAUUGGACAAUGGGCGCAAGCCUGAUCCAGCCAUGCCGCGUGAGUGAUGAAGGCCUUAGGGUUGUAAAGCUCUUUCAGUAGGGAAGAUAAUGACGGUACCUACAGAAGAAGCCCCGGCUAACCUCGUGCCAGCAGCCGCCGCAG